GGGCCUGUAGCUCAAAGGCAGAGCAGACGGCUCAUAACCGUCCGGUUGGAGGUUCGAGUCCUUCCAGGCCCA
rnacentral:tRNA from 6 species